rnacentral:rRNA from 1 species
AUACGUAGGUGGCAAGCGUUGUCCGGAAGUUAUUGGGCGUAAAGAGCAUGUAGGUGGGCUUUUAAGUCCGAUGUGAAAAUGCGGGGCUCAACCCCGUAUGGCAUUGGAUACUGGAAGUCUUGAGUGCAGGAGAGGAAAGGGGAAUUCCCAGUGUAGCGGUGAAAUGCGUAGAUAUUGGGAGGAACACCAGUGGCGAAGGCGCCUUUCUGGACUGUGUCUGACACUGAGAUGCGAAAGCUAGGGUAGC